CUGACUCCAUCCCGAACUCAGAAGUGAAACGAAACAGCGUCGAUGGUAGUGUGGGGUUUCCCCAUGUGAGAGUAGAACAUCGCCAGGC
rnacentral:rRNA from 1 species